rnacentral:rRNA from 1 species
GACGAACGCUGGCGGCGUGCCUAAUACAUGCGAGUCGAACGCACAGUUUAUACCGUAGCUUGCUACACCAUAGACUGUGAGUUGCGAACGGGUGAGUAACGCGUAGGUAACCUGCCUGGUAGCGGGGGAUAACUAUUGGAAACGAUAGCUAAUACCGCAUAAUAUUGAUUAUUGCAUGAUAAUUGAUUGAAAGAUGCUAUUGCAUCACUACCAGAUGGACCUGCGUUGUAUUAGCUAGUAGGUGAGGUAACGGCUCACCUAGGCGACGAUACAUAGCCGACCUGAGAGGGUGAUCGGCCACACUGGGACUGAGACACGGCCCAGACUCCUACGGGAGGCAGCAGUAGGGAAUCUUCGGCAAUGGACGAAAGUCUGACCGAGCAACGCCGCGUGAGUGAAGAAGGUUUUCGGAUCGUAAAGCUCUGUUGUAAGAGAAGAACGGGUGUGAGAGUGGAAAGUUCACACUGUGACGGUAUCUUACCAGAAAGGGACGGCUAACUACGUG